ACUUGAGAUGACUGACAGUUGCAAACAGCCCCGUGGGGGCCGAGAAGAGAGCACAGAGAAAUAUGAACAAAAAGAUUGUGAGGAGGGCUCUAAGCUCUAGAGCCGAGUUAAGAAACAUUGAGUCUCGGGGUGAAAUGGGACAGCGAAUCUUUCCAUAAUCCCUGUGGGACAACUUUGAGAAUAUGACGUCAGAGAAUAGGGAUGGAGUUAAUUAUGUAUCAUAAGAAUUAAAAAGCGAAGAGUAAUGUUUUACAUACUUUAAGCAAAUAUGUCUAUGUUCCUUAACUAAUAAGGUGAUGUAUUAUGUUUCCAUGUAUGGAUGUCUCAAACUUUGUCCAUUUUCCUGAAGAGGAAGAUUUAUUUUAUUUCCAUACAACGAGGUCGUAACAGAUGCCUUAUGCACGCUUCCUUAUACACAUAUGUGAGUUUCUCUAGGGUUUUUCAAAAUUGUGUUCUAUUAACAUUUUCUGAAAACAAUACAGAUAAGUGUAGAAAGUAAUGAAACAGAAAACAUGAACGUUAAUAUCGUUUAACAAAUCUCUCAAGAAAUUUCCGUCAUGAGACACAGUAGAGAAUUUUCUCUCAGGUUUCACAGUCAAGAAACACUCUACUUCUGAACAUUUUUUUCUGUGCGCCUUGCAGUAAUUGGAGUGUGCUUUGUGCCUUAGCCGCUAAGAUGCUUGGCCCCCAGUUUGUAGCCCACACUGGGAGCUCUAUAGCACUGUGUGGCAGGUAGUCUGUUCCAGUCCCUCACUGGCUUAAUUCUUUCUCCUCAGCUUUGUCACUUCAACUACCCUGUGUGUGUGUGUAUGUGUGUACUUCCU
rnacentral:lncRNA from 1 species